rnacentral:rRNA from 1 species
UUUAUCGGAGAGUUUGAUCCUGGCUCAGGACGAACGCUGGCGGCGUGCCUAAUACAUGCAAGUCGAGCGGACAGAUGGGAGCUUGCUCCCUGAUGUUAGCGGCGGACGGGUGAGUAACACGUGGGUAACCUGCCUGUA